rnacentral:lncRNA from 10 species
GGCUUUCUGAUAUAAAAAUCUUUCUAUAGAGAGAUGAACUAAGAUUGCUUCAAGGUUAAGGGUCUCUGGAGCCCAUUCCAUGAAGAUAUAUUACAGUAGAGAUGAUCAAGUGCAGAGAUGUCACCUGAGAAGAUUGUACAAGGUUUCUCAAGUUGGCUUAUGAGGAAACUGAGUCCCAGAGAGGGGCAAUGACUUAUACAAGUUUUCCAUGGGGCCUGGUGGAAGACUAGGACGGUCAACAGCAGCCUGGAGAGCCUGGAGUCUGCGUCAAUAUGCAACCCUAGCCCUGCACGCUGGGCGUUUGCCUGAGGUUUCCAGUGCACCGGAGGCGCGUACUCGUCUGCCUAAGAGGUGUCUGAGGCGCAUGGCCCCGGGAGAGGAGGAGAAUGGGACGGUGGUUCAGAUCUGCUGAUGUAGCUGUGGUCAGUCACUGGGGAGAAUAGGCCUGUGGAUUUCUGCUCCUCUGAGAUGGAUCCAUCACUGACUACUGAACUUGUUUUCUCAUUGGCUCAACUUAAGAAGGUUCUAGAGGAUCAAGGACGUGAAACAACCAAAACCAAAGAGCAGCUGGAGACCACUUGCCAGUGAUUAGCACGAGGUAAGCUGCAAAGAACUUUGAAUUAGGUCAGUCUAAAUAAUAGGGCGUUUUUCAAGUCCUUGCCUUGGGAAGAUCAGGAACACGGUGAAUAAUUGGGAUUACCUUUGUCUCACUAAGAGCCAAACCCCAGGUGUUGUAAGGCUACAAAGCUAUCUCAUUGUCUUCCUGUAUCAUCCAACGCUGAGAUCCUCUGUGACAUUUUAAAUUGCUUAUGUAGCAAAGCAAAUGGAGUACAGUAUUCAAACAUAGUUUUGUGUUUGUAGAGAACAUAAGAAGCUGAAAAUAUGAAUGGAUUCAAAGUGCAUGUAGAAAAAAAUGUGUCUGCUAUCUUUGUGAUUUGUUGCUAAGGAAAUGUUUCAUAGAGUAUUAGUACUGGACGAGCCCAAAGAAAUAAUAAUAUGAAGCCAUGUGAUAUUUGGGAUCCACUUACACUAAAAAUUAUUGUUUAUUACAUUUACAUUAUAUUAUUUGUUCUUUAUCUGAAAUCCGAAUUUACCAGAGCGUCUUUUGUUUUUAUUUGCUAAACCUGGCACCCCUAUUGAAAAUCCUGCUCCCCAGGCUUCAGCAAUAUCUCACUAUGUAGAAAAAGUUAGGUUAAAGUUGAAUUGUCUGCUAUUUUAGAAUGUCUAAAUAUAUUCAGAAGGCAAACUAUUGGAAGAUUUUUUUUAAGCUCAUUUUAUAUUCAAAACUUAGAAAUAAGGCUCAAGGAGGAAGGCGUGUCCUUCCAAUGUCAUUUUGGAGCAUUGUUGAAUAGGUCUAUCUGAAGAUUAUUUAAAUAUUUAGGGCAAUGUUCUUGUUUGUCCCGCGAUCUAUUAAUGAUUAAAGGGCCGAGGUCUGUGAAGUUACAUGUUAUCGUGAGGUAUUUGUCUGGCAGUGAUGCAAAUCAAUUCUGUCUGGUAGAAAAGAUAACCUAAAAGGUUAUAAUUACUGCUUUAGUGCGUUGCAGGAUAUUAACUUGUUUUGUAUAACCUAGGGCUCUUAUGCUAACAUUUUUUUCAUUUUUUUAAAAAUAAAAUCUUUAAAACUUUAAAGCAGUUUUUUUUUUUUUUUUUUGUAAAUCUAAAACAGUUUUAGAUUUACAAAAUUUGUGAAGAUAAUACAUGACAGAGCAGGAGUAUUGCCAUCUUGGACAAGCACUGUCAUUUUAAGUUCACGUUGAUCAAAAACUGCCUAAAUCCAAAGGGGAUCAGCCUAUGACUGUAAACCACAAAUGACAUCUCUGACCAGAAACAUUCCAAAUCCCUCCCUGACCAGAGAUGUGCCAGCCCUGAGACAACCUUCCCACUGGCCAGAAAGAUGUCAGCCCCAAAGAUAACCUCCCCUCCACCCAGAGGCAUUCCAACCCUGCCAUAAACUUCUCCCCUACACGAACAUAUUCCAAGCUUGUGAUAAACCCCCUCACCCUAAAACCAAUAUAUACUCUUAGUCUGUAAGAGAGGGUGCUCCUGACUGAAAUUGGCCAGAAGCCCCUCUCAGGUUUUUUUCCACAAAAAUAAACCUAUCUUUGACUGUUAAGCACGUUUCAUGUUUCUUUCCUUUUUCUUUAACUCUUAUGGUACAGAGGGUUGCUACU